UUAUCUUUUGUUAAAAAUUGGGUGUUCUAUUAUUAUUUUAUUUCAAGAAACACAGAAAAGGGUAGAGAGAGCAGACUUUGUUGUUUUCGCUAGGCAGCUGUAUUUGCGAGAGAAAGACUUGUUCCAUUCCUUCUUCUUCUUUUUCCUCUCAAGAAAGCACAGAAAUUUUUAUUGACUGCAAAAAAGAAGAAGAAAACCUGUUUGCAAAAAUGGAGAUGAUGUAUUACCAGCUUGGAAGGAGCUCCUAUCAGGAAUCCUUGAAAGUUCUCGAGUCAGAUAUCCAGCAUGCAAAUGCUCUGGCUGCUGCAAUUCCGAGACAAAAAGGCGCAUCACACCUUCAAAUGGAACUGGUCUACAAUCAGUUGGCACCGCUUUUCCUUUUUUUGCUUCGUUGGAUUGAUUGUUCCUGCUCUUGUCUGCUUUCGGAGUACCUAAAUCCCAUUUACAUCCUCAUUUAUAAGGUAGAUGCCGAAGGAAGAUUAAAAAUAUCCCGACAUGGGCGGAAGGCAACUGUUAGCGAUUUUUAUGCUGUUAUACUGCCAUCGCUUCGUCGACUCCAUUUUGACUUGGUGGAAUUUGGCAAUGCCAAAGAUGAAAGCGUUGGCAAGAAAAGAUUGAAAGGGGAUUCGAAAUUUGCAGAGUUUGAUAGGGAGAGAGAAGCAGAAUGCGGAAUAUGCUUAGAACCUUGCACCAAAAUGGUGUUGCCUAAUUGCUGCCAUUCAAUGUGCAUGAAUUGCUAUCGUGAUUGGAACAUGAGAUCGGAGUCGUGUCCCUUCUGUCGUGGUAGUUUGAAGAGGGUGAAAUCAAAAGACUUGUGGGUUCUCACCUCCAAUGAUGAAGUGGUCGACCCCGAUGCUGUUUCCAAAGAAGAUUUGCUGCGUUUCUAUCUCUACAUCAAAAGCCUCCCUAAGAAUUACCCAGAUGCGCUGUUCUUGAUGUAUUAUGAGUAUCUAAUAUGAUGCAAAGUGACCCUUUAAAGAUAGGAAAAACGCCCAUCUUCAAUGUAAAUAGAAUCUGGGUCUGUGCAUGCGGAUGUGGUGGGGGCGCCACACACCGUAUUCGGGUCGAAGUUGAGAUCUCCUUUGCCAGUUCCGCAACAUGCUUUCUUAGUAUCUUCCAACUGGUACUUUGCAGGGUUCGUCACUAUUGUUUCGUAUGCUUUCCAGAAGUCUGCAUAUAGGAUUGCACAGUCCCAGCACUCCCUGCGCAGUUCUCUCACUUUGCUUUGAAGUAUUUCAUUGUGUAGCUUUAUUGCCGAGUUGACAGGAGCAACACAUCCCAUUUGGUCCAGUUUACGUGGCUCGAAUGACGAGAUACUUAGAGGAAGGCACCCCAGUGGCGGAAAUUUUUGAACCAGUGUAUCUGUGUCUCAAAGGUCAUAGGUAUGCCUUUCCAGAUAACGUGUGUAAGUUCCUCAUUUGUGAAGUAUUUGUGCUGGAGAGACGUGGAUCCAGCGAUUGCAAAGUUGACACCAGUUGUGGCUGCCCCGGAGUUGAAGUUUUUGGAAGCAUUUAGGUACGGCUGUGGAGAUGGCAAAGAGAAGGCCGCAGACACAAAGUCCACCGCCAAUCGACCAUUGCAUAAUCGCCCUCCAGAACGCUGGCAGGUAACACCAUAGUUUCCUUUAAGGCGUCCCAUUAUGUAUGCAUUUCCAGUGUCUGUGAAUGAGCCCCCGAAGGCAUACAACGCAGAGAAGCUGUUGCCAUGUUUCCCCUGCAAACCCCCGCUUUCUUGCCCAUCGCCAUCGACAUAUGUCGAAAAACACAACAACAAAGAAGAUGUUAUGAAGGAGGAGAGGGUUAGAGAAGAGGAAAACAUGUUCUUUGGCAUAAAAUUUUUUUUUUUUAUGUUGUCUUCAACAAAUGCAUGCGCAUUAUUUAUGCAUUAUUACCAUUGGCCAAUGAUAACUGAUUUAGAUCAGUGGACACCCAUGGUUUUAGGGAAGAUCAUUGCUUCCUUGUUGAAUAUUUGACCACAACAGCUUUAUGAACAUGCUACAAUUUUGCA